rnacentral:sRNA from 1 species
GCUGGGUGCAGUGGCAUACUCCUGUAAUCCCAGCUGCUUGGGAGGCUGAGGUAGGAGGAUUGAGAGUUCAAAGCUAGCCUCAGCAACUGCAAGACUGCUAAGCAACUCAGUGAGACCCUGUUUCUA